UACGGGGGGGGCAAGCGUUGUUCGGAAUUACUGGGCGUAAAGGGCUCGUAGGCGGCCAACUAAGUCAGACGUGAAAUCCCUCGGCUUAACCGGGGAACUGCGUCUGAUACUGGAUGGCUUGAAUCCGGGAGAGGGAUGCGGAAUUCCAGGUGUAGCGGUGAAAUGCGUAGAUAUCGUGAGGAACACCAGAGGCGAAGGCGGCUACCUGGACAAUUGCUGACGCUCAGGCACGAAAGCGUGGGGAGCAAAAGGG
rnacentral:rRNA from 1 species